UCCCCUAAAACCACACCACAAAAUGUACACAGAAGUACCAGAGACGUUUGAUCGAUCCCACUAAUUUACAUCCAACGUUCUACAUUACAUCAAGCAUCUACCACACAAAUCAACGAUCUAGAUUAAAUGUUCUGUCAGGGCAGACUACCCUGCGCACGUCCUGCAGCCCCCCUCACGCAAACAAGCCACCACACAACAAGCCGCUAAACGCAUCUGAGCCCCCAUUCAUAACAUCACCUCACCUGCCCGGACUGCGCCCCCCGCCUCCCUCCCCACCGCCGUGCUCCCUUUGCCUUCGGGUCGCUCCCCUCUGUGGUUGUAUGACGCCCGCCGCCCGCGCAACCUCCCUUCACCCCGCUCGACGUCGUCCUGCCCGUCCGCCUCUCCUAUGGCGCACGGCACCUGCCGCCGGACCCGCCCUUCCACCAUCUCCUGUGUCGCCGGCAGAACCUCACUUCGCGCUGCUCGCCAUCGGAUUGGCCCGCCCGUGCGCCUCUCCUACGACGCCGGCCUCCAGCUCCGCCCUCCUCCAUCUCCUAUGGUGCACGACGCCCGCCGCCGGCCCCGCCCUUUGGCAUCUCCUAUGGCGCGCGGCGCCCCCGUCCGUCGGCCUCUCUUGUGGCUAACGGCUGUUGCUGCUCGAUGUCUCGAACAACGCUACAGAGUGGCCCUGCCACGGCUUCAUCAUAUACCUCAUCGGUAAAUUUCUUCGAGUUUUUUCUGUUUGUUUUGAUACACUGUGCUCCAAAUUCUAAAUUUUGAAGGCUAUGGAUGGAAUUCCCCUUUCAUUUCAUAUAUUGCAAUGUAGCAUUUUAGUUCAAAGUUCAGAAACUGGAUUCUGUCUAUAGUUAUUCUCAUGUCCCUCAUGACUCUGCAUGUGUACUUCUUCUCAUGUUAAACUAAUGUGUGAUACUAGGUGUCUUUGCAUUUUCAAUGAUCCAUCCCUUGAGCCAUAUGAUCUGUCAGAUGAUGACACUAAUUUACAGAAGAAUUUCACACAUCUAAGUGAUCUUGCAGCUGCACUGCGAAAACAUGACCAUCGUGAUGGUGUAAGUUUCCAGUUAGUGCUUUGAAUACCUACCAGACAAAACUACUGGAUGAUCCUGAGCUUUCUUUCUUUUGUCUUCACAAGGUUGAAAGCGCUCUUAGUUCUGCUGAAAAGCUUGUGAGAGCAUCACCUGAUGAGCUGUGCCACUGCUCGGGUGAUCUUGUUCAAGCACGUGUACAUGUUCCUUGUUUUCGUGUCAAGGUGGAAGGCGAGGAAGAUCCUGCUGAAGAAAACCGACAGAAGGCAUUAGUCGCCUUGCUGAUGUGGUGUAGCAUGAGCAUAAGCUAAUGGACGUGUCAGCGAGCCCCGAGGGAGAUGCCCCCUGCAACAUGAAGAACACCAUCUGGACAAAGGGGAGGUACACAGAUGGCCAAGGACGAAAGGAGGCGUGCAGGUCUGCGUUUCACAGUUAUCUCUUUCAGCACCAGCGAUUAAAUGGUAUGUAGCCGGUCAGGCGUGCUUGCCUGAAAUGUGCUUUGUUAGUUCUAGAGCCAUGCUAGCUUUGUAUGUUGUUCUUGCAGCCUCAACGAGCUAAUUCUAUUUAAAGCUAAUGUUGUUCAAUCCUUCUAA